rnacentral:rRNA from 1 species
GGCGGCAUNCCUUACACAUGCAAGUCGAACGGCAGCACGGACUUCGGUCUGGUGGCGAGUGGCGAACGGGUGAGUAAUACAUCGGAACGUGCCUAGUAGUGGGGGAUAACUACUCGAAAGAGUGGCUAAUACCGCAUGAGAUCUACGGAUGAAAGCAGGGGAUCGCAAGACCUUGUGCUACUAGAGCGGCUGAUGGCAGAUUAGGUAGUUGGUGGGAUAAAAGCUUACCAAGCCGACGAUCUGUAGCUGGUCUGAGAGGACGAUCAGCCACACUGGGACUGAGACACGGCCCAGACUCCUACGGGAGGCAGCAGUGGGGAAUUUUGGACAAUGGGCGCAAGCCUGAUCCAGCAAUGCCGCGUGCAGGAUGAAGGCCUUCGGGUUGUAAACUGCUUUUGUACGGAACGAAAAGCUUUGGGCUAAUACCCUGGAGUCAUGACGGUACCGUAAGAAUAAGCACCGGCUAACUACGUGCCAGC